CGGUUUGACAAGGUGCCGAGUGGCGGACCUUAUAGCUGGAAAUGCACUGUCCCCGCAGCACGCGCUCCGCCGCGAGCUCUUCGCCAUCUGAAAUUGCCCAGGCCUGUCAUCGGCCGUAAUAACACGGGGGGGGGGGACACUUCUGUCGUGGCAAUGCCCAAGACUGCACACCGGACUGGGACAUUUCUAGGAAGAAUUUCAGAAGUAUUGCUACCGGGAGCCGAUGUAGGAGAAAACCACAGCACCCAGUAAGGCCCAGAUGACCGCGUGGGGAGCACGCAACCAUCACACACAUGGAACUAGGAUGGGAAUAGAAUCCAUAACCCUGGAGCUUUUCCAGCCAAAAAAAAAAAAUGUAAAAAUUCACCAGAAAAGAUGGCGUGAACCAGCUAGUAUAUCUCUGGACCCUUAUGCUCCUUCAGAAACGCUCUCCUGGAAGAAGAUCAUACUGGAAGCCUUCCCACCAGCCUGCUCCCCCCCCGCCCCCAUGUGAGAAUCAGAUGGGCACCUGGGAGAGAGUGGGCGGCCGAGGAGGCGGGGCUCAGAACAUGCCUUGUGUCCGCAUCCCGUAGUGGAAAAGAAGCAGGUUAAACUUUAACCAGUCCUGCCUGUUUUUGAUUGAC